rnacentral:lncRNA from 1 species
GAAGGAGCUCACCUUACCCAUCUUCUCCCAAGGGUUUGGCCAGCCUGAGACUCUGGAGGGCAAUGACAGCACCAGUGUGGUCCCUGCCUUUGAUCCUGAGCCAGUCAUUGCCCACUGCUUCAAGCAGUUCAAGCAGGAGGACUUCCACCUGCUGAAGAGCCACCAGCGGGUCAUCAUCGUGCCUACCCAGCAGGGACAGGCGCCCAUGGAUCGUGAGCCCCAGCCCCCACCACCUGCCCCCAACCUCAGAGUCCUGGGUUCUGGGGACAUCCCCGGGCUGAGGGAGAACAGGGCAGCCUGGCUGCACCACAGGGUGAAGCUGCGGAAGGAGCUGGAGGCCCUGGGUGACGUGACUCGGUGGCUGGAGAACAAGCCCAGCAUCACCCCCUUGGAGGCCAAGGUCCUGAACAUGCUCCAUGAGGAGCGAAAGGCCCAGCUUACGGUCGAGGUGACCACCACCACAGUCGCCAAGAAAAGAGGCCCCCGACGAGUGGUGCCCCAGCUUUGGCUGCCCAAGCCACCAGCCUUGUCGGCCCUGUACACCUACCUGCGCCGCCGCAAAAUUCAGGUGCUGGAGCUGUUUGCCAAGGGCCUGGGCACACAGCGGAGAGUCCCCUGGGAGGAAUUCCUCACCACACUGAGGACGGUUGGGGUACCCCUGAAGCAGCAGGAGAUGGAGGAUGUGGUGAUCUACCUGAGCUCCCUCGAGAACCACCAUGACAUCACUAUGGAGGCCCUGGCCAGCACCUACAAGCAGUGGUCUCUGGCCCAGCUGAGGAGCACGGUACCCACCGUGCACAAGUGCUCUGUCCCGGCCCAGGGCAUGUCAUCCCCACAUCCCUGUAGGAAGGACCUGCUCAUGGUGCCCGAGUUCCCUGUGCCCAUGGAGGCUCGGCCCCUGACGCUGGAGGAGAUGGAGGAUGUGGGCAGGCACUACCGUGAGCGCAAGCGGCAGCUCAAGCUCCCCAUCCCCUCUAUCGAGUACACGGAGAGCUGCCGCCUGGUGCACAGUGGGGACGAGCGCGUGGACCAGCACUGCCUGCCAUCCACGGUGGCUGGUGAGGGCCAGGAGCUUCUGGACACAGCCCGCAUGGACGGCUUCCUGCUCUACUUGCGCUGUGGGCAGCAGUGUGCGGCCUCGGGCCUGCCAGUGACCAAGGAGGUCCUCACCCGAGCACUGCUGUACCCGGGGGACAGGAUAGUCCUCCAGGACACCCAAGUGCGCCCCAUCCGGCAGCCCGGCGGCUUCUACUCUGACUCGAGGGCCCUGGCCCCGCAUCUGGCCACACACAGGACCCAGGGACCGAGGCUGGGUCCCCAGAAGAGCAACAAGCUGAGUGUCCCCUGUCCCCGUGCCUUCCUGCCACUGCCUGCCCACCGUUGUCCCCUCUGCUCCGGCCGGGAUGCUGGCUGCUUGGUGGCCUGUGGCUGGUUGCUGCUCUCACUGGUCACCUGGUCACCUGGGAUGGCGGCCCCAGUGCCUCCCACCAUGGUGCACAUCUUAGCUCGAGGCUGCUCACCUCAGCACCACACAGCUGCCCUCCUGGCCCCGGUCCGCAACCAUGGCCCUGGGUGUUGGUGGGGACAGGCCUUCCCGGCCCUGCUGCCCUAGCAAGGUGCACAGCCAGGCCUGUCUCUGUCCCUGUCCCUGACACUAGCCUCAGUCCCCUCUGAGAAAGUGGCUGCCUGGUGCAUCCAAAUCCUGGGCCCCAAGCUUUGGGUCAAACCCCAGGUGACGAUGUGGGCAGCAAGGUGGUGGCAGCUGGUAGAAGAGCAAGAUGGUGUCUAGACAGAGGGACCAGGGUGGGGCCGAGUGACGUAGGCAGGUGUUAGGCAGGUGGACCAGCCCCUCUGCUCCCCGGGCCUCAGAUACCCUGUGGUAAACAGCACUGGUAGAGUCUGAGGAGGUUCGCUGAUGCCUGUCAUAGAAGACCCUUGUAGGAUGAGGGACGAGUCAGAGAGAGGCCCAGGCAGUUAGAAAAUAAAGGGGAGGAGCUGGGCAUUAUACCAGCACUCGAGAGGCUGAGACAGGAGGAUCACCGUGAGUUCCAGGCUAGCCUGUGCUACAUAGUGAGACCCUGUCUCAAAAAAGCAAAAAAGAGGCUUGGCUUGGUGGUGCAUGCCUGUAAUCCUAACAGUUGGGAAGCUGAGACAGGAGGAUCACCAUGAGUUCAAGGCCAGUGUGGGCAACAUAGAGAGAUCAAGGCCAGCCUGGGCUACAAAGUGAGACCGUAUCUCAAAAAACAAAAACAAGAAAAGAAAAAACUAAGGUUAUUAAUAAGGAAAUCAGACAUAAAAUGCAGCCAGAGACACCAAGCUCCAUCCUGCCAGGUCCCUGUGACACUGGACACUAUGGGGACUGAAUGGAGGAUGCGCAUCACGCUGGCUGGGUCCCCAUGCUUCCCCAGGCCGGCAGGAAGCGCUAAUCAGGAAGAGCUGAGAGGGUCCAGACAGUGGUGGCUCGAGGGCCUCUGUCCUUUGGUGACCAUCUCCCUGCCAUGGUGCCUGGCGUGGGUUCUUGGGUAUGAGUAUGACGGAGGGCGGGCCCGGGACAGGACUGUGUCCUGCUGAGGAGGACGGAGAGGCCGAGGCCCAGGGCGGACAGUGUGCUCUCGCUGCC